rnacentral:rRNA from 1 species
UACAGAGGGUGCGAGCGUUAAUCGGAAUUACUGGGCGUAAAGCGUGCGUAGACGGUAAUGUAAGUCAGAUGUGAAAGCCCCGGGCUCAACCUGGGAAUUGCAUUUGAGACUGCAUUGGCUUGGGUGCGGAAGAGGGAAGCGGAAUUUCCGGUGUAGCGGUGAAAUGCGUAGAUAUCGGAAGGAACACCAGUGGCGAAAGCGGCUUCCUGGUCC